rnacentral:rRNA from 1 species
GGCCAGACUCCUACGGGAGGCAGCAGUGAGGAAUAUUGGUCAAUGGACGCAAGUCUGAACCAGCCAUGCCGCGUGCAGGAAGACGGCUCUAUGAGUUGUAAACUGCUUUUGUACGAGGGUAAAUCCCGAUACGUGUAUCGGGUUGAAAGUAUCGUACGAAUAAGGAUCGGCUAACUCCGUGCCAGCAGCCGCGGUAAUACGGAGGAUUCAAGCGUUAUCCGGAUUUAUUGGGUUUAAAGGGUGCGUAGGCGGUUCGAUAAGUUAGAGGUGAAAUCCCGGGGCUCAACUCCGGCACUGCCUCUGAUACUGUCGGGCUAGAGUUUAGUUGCGGUAGGCGGAAUGUAUGGUGUAGCGGUGAAAUGCAUAGAGAUCAUACAGAACACCGAUUGCGAAGGCAGCUUACCAAACUACGACUGACGUUGAGGCACGAAAGCGUGGGGAGCAAACAGGAUUAGAUACCCGAGUA